rnacentral:snRNA from 1 species
GGAUGUGAGGGCAAUCUGGCUGUGACAUCUGUCACCCCACUAAAUCAUUGCCAGGGUUGAUUUGGCUGACCUGGCUGAUCUGUUGGGUGUCCCCUUCCUCCCUCACUGCUCCAUGUGUGUCCCUCCCAAAGCUGCACGCUCAGUGGAAGAGGACAACGUCCCAGGUAUAGAAGGAGUGUACCGAGGUCUCUAGGUGGAAAAGAGUAGUAGAGCUGAGUGUCAUCUGCAUAUAAUACAUUGCACUCUAAAACUCCAGGUGACCAAAUGUUUUCUAGG